CCUUCGAUAGCCCAGUUGGUAGAGCGGGGGGCUGUAGAUUUAUAAUUGUGAUCCCUAGUUUGCUGGUUUGAAUCCGGCUCGAAAAA
rnacentral:tRNA from 1 species